GAUGACCGCUAGCUACAGGCUUAACACAUGCAAGUCGAGGGCCCGUCGCACGGGUGAGUAACACGUAUCCCACCUACCCUUUACUCGUGGAUAGCCUAUCGAAUGACAGAUUAAUCCCCCAUAUAAAGGAUGGGUAUUCGUUCCAUUAGGUUGUUGGUGAGGUAACGGCCCACCAACCCUUCGAUGGAUAGGGGUUCUGAGAGGAAGGUCCCCAACAGUGGAACUGAGACACGGUCCAAACUCCUACGGGGGGAAGGAGUGAGGAAUAUUGGAGAAUGGGCGGUAGCAUGAACCAGCAAAGUAUCGCGAAGGGUGAAGGGUUAUGGGUCGUAAAUUAAUUUUGUAUAAGAAUGUGUACUAUAUGAAUAAGGAUCCGCUAACUCCGGGCCAGCAGCCGCGGUAAUUC
rnacentral:rRNA from 1 species